rnacentral:lncRNA from 1 species
CUGAUCUGCAGGCUGGAGCCCCUGGUCUGGAGCAAGCUGAAUACAGAUGAUUGAAGCAUGAGACGCAUGUUCGAGAAGCCAUGAUUAUUUCUGUCCUUGUUCAGCUGUUCAAGCUCCAGAACAAUUGUUGCAUAUCUCCGCUGAAAUUCAAUGCUGAUGGGCAUGGAAUAUGAUUUCUGAGAAGAGAAAAAAAUCAGAUCUUGUUAUCUCAGAAGAGGAUAUAUUAAUAGGAACUUCCAAAACUAAAAAACAAAGAGAACAAAGACUGAAAAAAUCAGCACAGAAUGUCCAAGGAUUGUGGGACAACUACAAAAGACGGAGUCUCGCUCUGUUGCCACUUGUGAUCUCGGCUCACUGCAAUCUCUGACUCCUGGGUUCAAGCGAUUCUCCUGCCUCAGCCUCCCGAGCAGCUGGGAUUACAGGCGCGCGCCACCACGCCCAGCUAAUUUUUGUAUUUUUAGCAGAGACGGCGUUUCACCAUGUUGAUCAGGUUGGUCUCGAACUCCUGACCUCGUGAUCCGCCUGCCUCAGCCUCCCAAAGUGCUGGGAUUACAGGCGUGAGCCACUGCGCCCGGCCAGGAAGUAUCUUAUUUUUAGAAAAAGAGAAAAUUCUGUUAUAAUUAAUAUUAUAUUAAAAUCCAAUAAAAAGGAAAUUAUUUCUGGAGAUGAAGCAACUAUUUAUUUUAUUUAAUAUUUUCAAUUCAAAAUAGUGUGCAUACUUUGAAGUUGCUGUAAUAGAUGUGUAUUUCUUAAGAACAUAGUUCACCUUCAUAAAAAUCA